rnacentral:tRNA from 1 species
UGGGGUGUGGCUCAAUGGAGGAGCACAGGCCUGGCAUGCAUGCGGCUCUGGGUUUGAUCCCCAGUACUGUAA